CAGCAGCCGCGGGAAUACGUAGGGUGCGAGCGUUAAUCGGAAUUACUGGGCGUAAAGCGUGCGCAGGCGGUUUUGUAAGACAGGCGUGAAAUCCCCGGGCUCAACCUGGGAAUGGCGCUUGUGACUGCAAAGCUAGAGUGCGGCAGAGGGGGAUGGAAUUCCGCGUGUAGCAGUGAAAUGCGUAGAUAUGCGGAGGAACACCGAUGGCGAAGGCAAUCCCCUGGGCCUGCACUGACGCUCAUGCACGAAAGCGUGGGGAGCAAACAGGAUUAGAGACCCCAGUAGUCCCUGUCUCUUAUAA
rnacentral:rRNA from 1 species